UAGCUUCGCUCCUCGGCAGCGGCGUCCAGGAUGAGGCUGAGAGUUGGAUUUAUUCUGCGGAGUUUGAUUGUAAUCGGGACAUUUCUUGGUUUACCUUGUGCUCUGGUCUUCUCUGUCGCCGAAAGUCAGUGAUGACGUUCCUUUUGGAAGACGGGAAGACCAUUUUCAACCCAAACCAAACUUGGCAGAGCAGUUUAAGCCUGUGGUGCCGUGGCCUCGUGUGGAGGGGUUGGAGGUUGACCUUGACUCUAUCAGACUCAAACAUGGAGGAGCCAACCCUCCCCAAUUUCCUAACCAGCAACCUGAGCAGAACCAGGUGAUAGAGAAGCAGUAUGUGACAUUUAAACCCCAUAUUCAUGCUUACAACAGCCCCACACUGAAGAAAGGCCUUCUGGGAAAUUUGAGCUCAAGGAGCCUGAACCUCCGGGAGUCCCUGGGGGUCCUGGAGAGGGAUCAAAGCCUUUUAUACUGGGUGCAGAGUACAAAGACGCUGUCCAGUCUUCCAUCAAAGAGUUUGGCUUCAACAUGGUAGCCAGUGAUAUGAUUUCACUGGAUAGAACAAUCAGUGAUAUCCGCCAUGAUGAGUGAGUAGUACAACUUUGCAUUUCUA